rnacentral:rRNA from 1 species
UCGAGCGGACCGACGGGAGCUUGCUCCCUUAGGUCAGCGGCGGACGGGUGAGUAACACGUGGGUAACCUGCCUGUAAGACUGGGAUAACUCCGGGAAACCGGGGCUAAUACCGGAUGCUUGAUUGAACCGCAUGGUUCAAUCAUAAAAGGUGGCUUUUAGCUACCACUUGCAGAUGGACCCGCGGCGCAAUAGCUAGUUGGUGAGGUAACGGCUCACCAAGGCGACGAUGCGUAGCCCACCUGAGAGGGUGAUCGGCCACACUGGGACUGAGACACGGCCCAGACUCCUACGGGAGGCAGCAGUAGGGAAUCUUCCGCAAUGGACGAAAGUCUGACGGAGCAACGCCCCGUGAGUGAUGAAGGUUUUCGGAUCGUAAAACUCUGUUGUUAGGGAAGAACAAGUACCGUUCGAAUAGGGCGGCACCUUGACGGUACCUAACCAGAAAGCCACGGCUAACUACGUGC